rnacentral:rRNA from 1 species
CCUACGUGUGGCAGCAGUGGGGAAUAUUGGGCAAUGGGCGCAAGCCUGACCCAGCAACGCCGCGUGAAGGAUGACGGUUUUCUGGUUUUAAACUUCUUUUAAGAGGGAAGCGCAGAAGCCGGCACCUCUUGAAUAAGCCACGGCUAACUACGUGCCAGCAGCCGCGGUACUACGUAGGUGGCACGCGUUGUCCGGAUUUACGGGGUGUAAAGGGCGUGCAGCCAGGAAGACAAGGCAGAUGUGAAAUCCCGCGGCUCAACCGCGGAACUGCAGUUGAAACUGUUUUUCUUGAGUACCGGAGAGGUCAGCGGAAUGCCUUGUGUAGCGGUGAAAUGCGUAGAUAUAAGGAAGAACACCAGUGGCGAAGGCGGAUGACUGGACGGCAACUGACGGUGAGGCGCGAAAGCGUGGGGAGCAAACAGGAUUAGAUACCCCAGUAGUC